rnacentral:rRNA from 1 species
GAUGAACGCUGGCGGCGUGCCUAAUACAUGCAAGUCGAGCGAACGGACGAGAAGCUUGCUUCUCUGAUGUUAGCGGCGGGCGGGUGAGUAACACGUGGAUAACCUACCUAUAAGACUGGGAUAACUUCGGGAAACCGGAGCUAAUACCGUAUAAUAUUUUGAACCGCAUGGUUCAAAAGUGAAAGACGGUCUUGCUGUCACUUAUAGAUGGUUCCGCGCUGCAUUAGCUAGUUGGUAAGGUAACGGCGUACCAAGGCAACGAUGCAUAGCCGAACUGAGAGGAUGAUCGGCCACACUGGAACUGAGACCCGGUCCAGACUCCUACGGGAGGCAGCAGUAGGGAAUCUUCCGCAAUGGGCGAAAGCCUGACGGAGCAACGCCGCGUGAGUGAUGAAGGUCUUCGGAUCGUAAAACUCUGUUAUUAGGGAAGAACAUAUGUGUAAGUAACUGUGCACAUCUGGACGGUACCUAAUCAGAAAGCCACGGCUAACUACGUG